GGGGGUAAUGAUGAGGAAUAUUUUUCAAUGGAAUGCUUUUCGGAAGAUUAGGCUGUUGAAGGGAUGAAAGGUGUGCUAUGAAUUGCAAAUGCUGAUCCCAAGAGAUGUUUAGGUGCUGCAUCUAGAAAUCUAAAUUUUUUACAUAACUUCUUUGUUGUUACCGACUACUUGGACUACUGAACUUAACGUAAGAAUGGUCUGUUGAGAAGGUCCUGCAACAAGUUAUUUAUAUUGUCACCCAUAUUGCUGCGACAGCAUCAAAGUCUCCUAAAGAAUGUGUUGUGCUUUUCCUUUCAGGAAAUAA